rnacentral:lncRNA from 1 species
AGGGUGGUUGCUAUGCUCUCCACGUCAUUGCUGUGCGCUUGUCUGUAAAGCACACCCAGGUUCAUAAAGCAUAGCGCCACCAGCUAACUUCUGAUUGGUUCCUUGUGACAAGACAGGCAUCUGACUUUCUAGUGUCUAGAACAAGGUCAUAGAAGCACAUGUUCGACCAUUAUGGCUGCCGAAAGGGAAGCUGGCCCCUUCAGAAUCAUCUAGAGAAACCCUUCUGGAUGUAUCUGGUUUUCUUACAGCAAUAGAAAAACAACGAAUGUAAGAACCAUUAAGGAGAGACCAUUCGCCUUGUACUGGGCCAAUAGGAGAAAUGCCCUGAUGUCAAGAAUAUCCACCAAAGGCUUUAACUUGUGGAAAUGUAAAUUCAUCUGAAUGGAGAGAACCUGAACGGAGAACAGCACCACAGAGGAUUCCUGCUAAAAAUCAGUUGCUCAGAGUGGUGCUUCCUAGGGUUAGCCCUUGGAGGCACACAGAGGCAGAUGCAGAUCAGGGGGCCAGGAUACAUCUCAAGCUGACAGCAGGACUUGGGAGCCUUAGCCACAGGAAACUGCUCUUUUUCUGCCAGGCUUGACAGAGGCAAGAUUGAGGGAGUCAUGGAGACUUGCACUAAGGUUCCUGACAACUGCUGGGGCCAGGGGUCCAACUCUGAAGGCCAUGCAGGUGACUGUAUCACCAGGAUUCGAGCCCCACACGGUCAACUUGGAGCACCACAUCUGCCUGCACCUCUUAGUCAGUCUGCAGAUGUCCCUGGACUAAAACCUGGGAGGAGGCUGUCAGGGGAUCGCUCAGAUCUCUGGAUAAUACCCUUGUGCACUUGGAAGCUUGGCUGAUAAUACUGCAUAUGGGUACAUGCUUGGGGCUUGGUUCCUUCGUAGCAGGAUAUGGAGGUCAGAGGACUUACGGGAGUCGGUUCUCUCCUUGCAUCGUGUGGAUCUGAGGUCAGACUCAGGCUGGCAGGUUCGGCUGCAAUCCCCUUUGACUUCAAGUAAUUCUGCUGGCCUGAAAUUGCAAUUUUUAAUAAAAAUUCCCCCUUAACAAAUGAUUAACCGGGAGAAUUUUUUUCUACUAGCCAUUUUCCCUUUGCCAUGUUAAUUAAAACAUGUACUUUGAGGUAGUAGAUUCCAGGAGAAGUUUGCCAUGUUCCUUCCUUUAUUGCAUGUAACUAACCCUUUUGUGCUUAACAAUUUUGCAUCUGGUGGAGAGUUAAGCCACCGUUAACUUCCUGUCUCUGACAUUCAGCUUGGUGCUUGGUGUUGCUUUGCUGUGUACGUCUUAGUCCCGGAUCCUCUGUGCCCUGGUUUGUACCCUGCGCCGUUUCUGUCCUCAGUGGAGGCUUUCUUCUUCCACAAUUUAAUUUUUCAAAAUGCAACUUUAGAUUGCAAAAUGCAGACCCCAACAAAACCUCUGUGUUUUGCUCACAGUGUGCUAGGUGGCAUCUCGUUUUCAGGGUGUGUUGUGUUGUGGUCUACCUGCUGAUGAAGCAUCUCUGUUGUUCUCGGUAAAUGAAAGGCAAACAUUUCCACCCAUUAGUGCUUGGAAGUAAAGAAGAGGAGCCUCUUGGGUGCUCAGCACAUCUCUGAUGAGAUAAGUGUGCAGUAGAUUUAUAGUUCAUUCGGCUUGGUCAAGAGACUCACAUGAGGGGGUUUUGUAUUUUCAAUUGUUUGGUGAUGAUUUCUUCAGUUUUUUUUUUUUAAAUUUGGCGCCACUCAAUAUAUGAAAUUUGACCUUGUACAGGGAAAAUUUCUGGAAAUCAGAUCUUUCUUUUAUUCCAAGUAGAAGGAACCUCUUUGCUAUCAAACACAGAAGACUAUAUUUAGACUGAUAUCAAUAAACAAAAAUUUCAGAUCAUCCAUAUGACUGCUGUCCGGAUCCUGCAAACUUCCAGCAAGCAUGAAAUAACUCAGAUGAGUUAUGAAAAAGCCUCUCCCCAAAGCAAAUGAACUAUUGCCAGAACACGAACAAAAAGAGGGUCUUAUGCUCGGCUUGUAUGUGAAGGGAAACGAAGGACAGCAAUUUGCAAUUUUGGAACAUUCUUUUUCCUGCAGCAG